UUUUUCUUAUUUUUCAAAAGGAUGAUGUUGACCUGUUUUAAGGGGGUGGAGGCAGAGUCAGCGGAUGGAUGGCUGUAUGGCUGCAGGAAGAUUUUCUCCUGGGUGUAGUUGUUUGGCUAUUUAAAUUCCAAGUCUUCUGGGGGUCAGAUGAUAUUGCUGCUCUCUUUAAUGACCUUCAUUAAGAGCAAUGGACAGGUUUAAUCUGAAGGUUAAAUAAUAAGUGUAUUUUUCAAAUUUAUUUGUAAAAUAAAAGAUAAACCUUGGUUCAUUUUAAUGUUUUCAAUAGAACUUUUCACCACA